AGCAGCCGCGGUAAUUCCAGCUCCAAUAACGUAUAUUAAAGUUGUUGCAGUUAAAAAGCUCGUAGUUGAAUUUCGGGGGUCAGUAGGUUGGUCAUGCCUCCGGUAUGUACUGGUCUCACUGAUUCCUCCUUCCUGAUGAGCCGUAAUGCCAUUAAUUUGGUGUUGCGGGGAAUCUGGACUGUUACUUUGAAAAAAUUAGAGUGUUUAAAGCAAGCUAACGCUUGAAUACAUUAGCAUGGAAUAAUGGAAUAGGACGUUCGAUCCUAUUUUGUUGGUUUCUAGGAUUGACGUAAUGAUUAAUAGGGAUAGUUGGGGGCAUUAGUAUUCAAUUGUCAGAGGUGAAAUUCUUGGAUUUUAUUGAAGACUAACUACUGCGAAAGCAUUUGCCAAGGAUGUUUUCAUUAAUCAAGAACGAAAGUUAGGGGAUCGAAGACGAUCAGAUACCGUCGUAGUCUUAACCAUAAACUAUGCCGACUAGGGAUCGGAUGAUGUUAAUUUUUAAUGACUCAUUCGGCGCCUU
rnacentral:rRNA from 1 species